rnacentral:rRNA from 1 species
GACGAACGCUGGCGGCGUGCUUAACACAUGCAAGUCGAACGGAAAGGCCCUGCUUUUGUGGGGUGCUCGAGUGGCGAACGGGUGAGUAACACGCGAGUAACCUGCCCUUGACUUUGGGAUAACUUCAGGAAACUGGGGCUAAUACCGGAUAGGAGCUCCUGCUGCAUGGUGGGGGAUGGAAAGUUUCGGCGGUGGGGGAUGGACUCGCGGCUUAUCAGCUUGUUGGUGGAGUAGUGGCUUACCAAGGCUGUGACGGGUAGCCGGCCUGGGAGGGUGACCGGGCACCAUGGGCCUGAGAUACGGCCCAGACUCCUACGGGCCGCAGCAGUCGGGAAUAUUGCACAAUGGGCGGAAGCCUGAUGCAGCAACGCCGCGUGCGGGAUGACGGCCUUCGGGUUGUAAACCGCUUUCGACUGUGACGAAGCGUUAGUGACGGUAAUGGGUAAAGAAGCACCGGCUAACUACGUG